rnacentral:rRNA from 1 species
AUACGCAGCGAAAGCUGUGCUAAUACCGCAUACGAUCCAUGGAUGAAAGCGGGGGAUCGCAAGACCUCGCGCGAUUGGAGCGGCCGAUAUCAGAUUAGGUAGUUGGUGGGGUAAAAGCCCACCAAGCCGACGAUCUGUAGCUGGUCUGAGAGGACGACCAGCCACACUGGAACUGAGACACGGUCCAGACUCCUACGGGAGGCGGCAGUGGGGAAUUUUGGACAAUGGGCGCAAGCCUGAUCCAGCAAUGCCGCGUGCAGGAUGAAGGCCUUCGGGUUGUAAACUGCUUUUGUACGGAACGAAACGGUCUACCCUAAUACGGUGGGCUAAUGACGGUACCGUAAGAAUAAGCACCGGCUAACUACGUGCCAGCAGCCGCGGUAAUACGUAGGGUGCGAGCGUUAAUCGGAAUUACUGGGCGUAAAGCGUGCGCAGGCGGUUAUAUAAGACAGAUGUGAAAUCCCCGGGCUCAACCUGGGACCUGCAUUUGUGACUGUAUAGCUAGAGUACGGUAGAGGGGGAUGGAAUUCCGCGUGUAGCAGUGAAAUGCGUAGAUAUGCGGAGGAACACCGAUGGCGAAGGCAAUCCCCUGGACCUGUACUGACGCUCAUGCACGAAAGCGUGGGGAGCAAACAGGAUUAGAUACCCUGGUAGUCCACGCCCUAAACGAUGUCAACUGGUUGUUGGGUCUUCACUGACUCAGUAACGAAGCU